rnacentral:tRNA from 1 species
GGAAGUGAAAGAAAAUUCUAGACCUGCUAAGUCCAAGAGAUUAUAGUUUAAUUCUAUAACACUCCCG